rnacentral:rRNA from 1 species
GGGGGAUAUUGCACAAUGGAGGAAACUCUGAUGCAGCAACGCCGCGUGAGGGAAGACGGUUUUCGGAUUGUAAACCUCUGUCCUUGGUGACGAAACAAAUGACGGUAGCCAAGGAGGAAGCUCCGGCUAACUACGUGCCAGCAGCCGCGGUAAUACGUAGGGAGCAAGCGUUGUCCGGAUUUACUGGGUGUAAAGGGUGCGUAGGCGGCUCUGCAAGUCAGGCGUGAAAUAUAUGGGCUCAACCCAUAUCAGCGUUCAAAACUGCUUUUCUUGAGUGAAGUAGAGGUUGGCGGAAUUCCUAGUGUAGCGGUGAAAUGCGUAGAUAUUAGGAGGAACACCAGUGGCGAAGGCGGCCAACUGGGCUUUUACUGACGCUGAGGCUCGAAAGCGUGGGGAGCAAACA